GAUUUCAAUCUGUUCUCUUUCUUCUCUGCUUUGUUUUUCAGUGGAGUGCUUUGAGAACAAACAACAGUACUUUGCUAACAGACUGGGCGAAGCCAUGAAGGGUAAAAGUGCCAAGGAGAAGGUGGUGACCAGGAUCGUCGUGUCUCGCUGUGAGGUGGACCUCAUGAAGAUCAGGACAGAGUUUAAGAAACUGAACCAGAAGUCCUUGUACCAGACCAUCGCUGAGCACACUAAAGGAGACUAUCAGAAGGUCCUGCUGAGUCUGUGUGAGG